GUGCACCAGGCGCGAAAACUUCGCAAUACGCGAAAGCGCGACGAGGGAACCCCCAGUACUCUUGCUUUUUGCGGGCGUUUUUGCCACGUGUAAACCGCUUGGAGAAUAAGGGCGGGGUGAGGCCGGUGCCAGCCGCCGCGGUAAUACCGGCCGCCCGAGGAGUGCCCACUAUUAUUGGGCCUAAAGCGUCCGUAGCCGGUUUUGUAAGUUUCUGGGUAAAUCCCACCGCUUAACUGCGGGAAUUCCAGAAAUACUGCAGAGCUAGGGGCCGGGAGACGCAGAAGGUACUCCUGGGGUAGGGGUGAAAUCCUAUAAUCCUAGGGGGACCACCAGUGGCGAAGGCGUUCUGCGAGAACGGGCUCGACGGUGAGGGACGAAAGCCAGGGGCGCAAACGGGAUUAGAUACCCCUGGAGUCC
rnacentral:rRNA from 1 species